rnacentral:rRNA from 1 species
UGGGGAAUAUUGCACAAUGGGCGCAAGCCUGAUGCAGCAACGCCGCGUGAGGGACGACGGCCUUCGGGUUGUAAACCUCUUUUAGUAGGGAAGAAGCGAAAGUGACGGUACCUGCAGAAAAAGCACCGGCUAACUACGUGCCAGCAGCCGCGGUAAUACGUAGGGUGCAAGCGUUAUCCGGAAUUAUUGGGCGUAAAGAGCUCGUAGGCGGUCUGUCGCGUCUGCUGUGAAAACUGGAGGCUCAACCUCCAGCCUGCAGUGGGUACGGGCAGACUAGAGUGCGGUAGGGGAGAUUGGAAUUCCUGGUGUAGCGGUGGAAUGCGCAGAUAUCAGGAGGAACACCGAUGGCGAAGGCAGAUCUCUGGGCCGUAACUGACGCUGAGGAGCGAAAGCGUGGGGAGCGAACAGG